UACGUAGGGGGCAAGCGUUGUCCGGAAUCAUUGGGCGUAAAGCGCGCGUAGGCGGCCCGAUAAGUCCGCUGUAAAAGUCCAGGGCUUAACCCUGGAAAGCCGGUGGAUACUGUCGGGCUAGAGUCCGGAAGAGGCGAGUGGAAUUCCUGGUGUAGCGGUGGAAUGCGCAGAUAUCAGGAGGAACACCGAUGGCGAAGGCAGCUCUCUGGAACGCAACUGACGCUGAGACGCGAAAGCGUGGGGAGCAAACAGG
rnacentral:rRNA from 1 species